UCCCUGGUGGCUCAGACGGUAUAAAGCGUCUGUCUACAAUGCAGGAGACCCGAGUUCGAGCCCUGGAUUGGGAA
rnacentral:tRNA from 1 species